UACGUAGGGACCAAGCGUUGUUCGGAUUUACUGGGCGUAAAGGGCGCGUAGGCGGCGUGGUAAGUCACUUGUGAAAUCUCUGAGCUUAACUCAGAACGGCCAAGUGAUACUGCUGUGCUAGAGUGCAGGAGGGGCAAUCGGAAUUCUUGGUGUAGCGGUGAAAUGCGUAGAUAUCAAGAGGAACACCUGAGGUGAAGACGGGUUGCUGGGCUGACACUGACGCUGAGGCGCGAAAGCCAGGGGAGCAAACGGG
rnacentral:rRNA from 1 species